UGGGGAAUUUUGGACAAUGGGCGCAAGCCUGAUCCAGCCAUGCCGCGUGAGUGAAGAAGGCCUUCGGGUUGUAAAGCUCUUUCGGACGGGAAGAAAUGGCGGGCUCUAACAUAGCCUGUCGAUGACGGUACCGUAAGAAGAAGCACCGGCUAACUACGUGCCAGCAGCCGCGGUAAUACGUAGGGUGCGAGCGUUACUCGGAAUUACUGGGCGUAAAGCGUGCGUAGGUGGUUGUUGAAGUCUGAUGUGAAAGCCCUGGGCUCAACCUGGGAAUGGCAUUUGAAACUGGGCAGCUAGAGUGCGGUAGAGGGUAGUGGAAUUCCCGGUGUAGCAGUGAAAUGCGUAGAGAUCGGGAGGAACAUCUGUGGCGAAGGCGACUGCCUGGACCAGCACUGACACUGAGGCACGAAAGCGUGGGGAGCAAACA
rnacentral:rRNA from 1 species